rnacentral:lncRNA from 1 species
AUUUCUUGAAGAUCUCCAUAAAGUACUUGAACUUCUUUUCCUUCCUAUGAUUCUUCUUUUGACGAGGAAGAGGCUUUUCAUAUGAUCUUUUCUUCUUUCCUCUCCUCCUCUUUUUCUUAAUUUUUUCCUUCCUUAACCUUCUCUUUUUCUUUAUCUUUUCUUUCUUUAUUUUCACUUUCUUUGUCUUUUUUUCUUUUCUUUCAAUCACGGCUUUUCCUUUCUCAUCCUUCUUCUCACUCUCAUUCAACUUUUCUGUUUCUAUCUCCUUUAUCUUUUUUGCAACAACAACUUUUUCUGUUUUUGUUUCCUCCUCAUACAUCUCUAGCUCUUCUUCUUCUUUCUUUUCCUCAUUGAGAACCUUAUCAUGUGCAAAGAUAGGGGCUUGACAUUCUUCUUUAGGGUUGACUUCAGUAUCAACCUUAAUAAUGCCCAAACCCUUCAAGCACCUCCUAAAUAAUUUCUCAAGCCGUGACACACUUCUCCUAAUUGCUGGACCGUGGCAGCUAUUGUCCCCUUUUUAAAGUACAAGGUUGCUUCCUUAAAAUGAAGAAAAACAUCACUUGUUGGACUUGUGGACGUGGCAGCAGCUCUCUCAUGCUUCCAUAAUUAAAUUCAGCCCAAUAAUCCAAUUGAAUGAAAAUUGAAAGUGUAAUAUUGAUUUCAGCCGGCUUGUGCAUCACAUGUGCUACCUUUAUUUAACCUCCAAAUGUCCUAAAUUGUAUUUCCAAAAUUUUCCCUGAAAAUAAUAAUGUAAUUAAUUAGCUCAGAAAAUUCAAAUUAAUUAAAAUUUGAAUUUUCGAUCAAAUUAAGCAAAAUUAGCGGAAAUGGGAAAAUAUCGAGCAAUUAAGCACAAUUCCCUGAUUAAAUUUGGUACAAUAAGCUAAGUGAAAUCAAUAAAAUAUCGACUCAUCACCCCUACUCUCGCACUUGAGGAGACUGAUGAAGAUUUGGAGGACCAGGCAGAUAUGAACAACACUUUUGAGAUAGGUAGACCAGCUUCACCUUCCACCACUCUACCAAUCUUCAGGGAAAUGGAGGUAAACAUACCUAUGGUUGAUUCUAUUGUUGAUUAUUAUGCUGAUGAUAGGUAUGUUGAUGAUUAUAUUAUUGAUGAGCAUGUUUUCA